AACGAACGCUGGCGGCAGGCUUAACACAUGCAAGUCGAGCGCCCCGCAAGGGGAGCGGCAGACGGGUGAGUAACGCGUGGGAAUCUACCCAUCUCUACGGAAUAACGCAUGGAAACGUGUGCUAAUACCGUAUACGUCCUUCGGGAGAAAGAUUUAUCGGAGAUGGAUGAGCCCGCGUUGGAUUAGCUAGUUGGUGGGGUAAAGGCCUACCAAGGCGACGAUCCAUAGCUGGUCUGAGAGGUUGAUCAGCCACACUGGGACUGAGACACGGCCCAGACUCCUACGGGAGGCAGCAGUGGGGAAUAUUGGACAAUGGGCGCAAGCCUGAUCCAGCCAUGCCGCGUGAGUGAUGAAGGCCCUAGGGUUGUAAAGCUCUUUCACCGGUGAAGAUAAUGAUGGUAACCGGAGAAGAAGCCCCGGCUAACUUCGUGCCAGCCGCCGCGGUAAGAC
rnacentral:rRNA from 1 species